rnacentral:rRNA from 1 species
AUUGAACGCUGGCGGCAGGCCUAACACAUGCAAGUCGAGCGAGCGGCGGACGGGUGAGUAAUGUAUGGGGACUGCCUGAUCGUGGGGGAUAACUGCUGGAAACGGUGGCUAAUACCGCAUACUAUCGGAUAACCCAUAUGGGAUUAGCUAGUAGGUGGGGUAAAGGCUCACCUAGGCGACGAUCUCUAGCUGGUCUGAGAGGAUGAUCAGCCACAGUUGGGCUGAGACACGGCCCAGACUCCUACGGAGGCAGGAGUGGGGAAGAUUGCACAAUGGGCGCAAGCCUGAUGCAGUCCUGCCGAGAGGAUGAAGAAGGCCUUAGGGUUGUAAAGUACUUUCAGCUGAGAGGCGUUACCCGCCGAAGAAGCACCGGCUAACUCCGUGCCAGCAGCCGCGGUAAUUC